rnacentral:tRNA from 1 species
UCCCCGAUAGUCUAGUGGUGAGGAUAUCUGCUUGUCAACAGUCCGUUACAGGGCUCGGGCUCGCAGGGGACCGGGGUUCAAUUCCCCGUCGAGGAG